rnacentral:rRNA from 1 species
UGGGGAAUAUUGGACAAUGGGCGGAAGCCUGAUCCAGCAACGCCGCGUGAGGGAUGACGGCCUUCGGGUUGUAAACCUCUUUCAGUACCGACGAAGCGAAAGUGACGGUAGGUACGGAAGAAGGACCGGCCAACUACGUGCCAGCAGCCGCGGUAAUACGUAGGGUCCGAGCGUUGUCCGGAAUUAUUGGGCGUAAAGGGCUCGUAGGCGGUUUGUCGCGUCGGGAGUGAAAACAGCGGGCUUAACUCGUUGCUUGCUUUCGAUACGGGGCAGACUAGAGGUAUGCAGGGGAGAAUGGAAUUCCUGGUGUAGCGGUGAAAUGCGCAGAUAUCAGGAGGAACACCGGUGGCGAAGGCGGUUCUCUGGGCAUUACCUGACGCUGAGGAGCGAAAGUGUGGGGAGCGAACAGGAUUAGAUACCCUGGUAGUCCACACCGUAAACGUUGGGCGCUAGGUGUGGGGUCCUUUCCACGGAUUCCGUGCCGUAGCUAACGCAUUAAGCGCCCCGCCUGGGGAGUACGGCCGCAAGGCUAAAACUU